AUAGUGAUCAGAAAGUUCUCUGAGUCAGACCCUCAGUUACUUUGUUCAUGAGUCAGAGAGAGGAGUUGUGGGAAGUGCAGAACCUUAAACCAGCAGUUUCCUAAUGUGGCCCUGUAACAUUAUAAAAAAACAAAACUGACAAAUUGAUAUAUUGAUGAAACAUUUUUAGUUUAAAUCUACACAUCAUUUUUAUUAAAUGUGUG